rnacentral:misc_RNA from 1 species
UUAACUUAUUUGUUUUCACUCAGAGAUUCCGUAUAUGACAUGAGAGUUUCGUACCUCCGGCGGGCGCCCCGCAACCCCGGGUGACCGGGGCCGGAGGGCAGCGGCGGCCCGGUGAAGGGCCCCCGCGCCGCCGAAGCAACUUGGAAGAGUUCGCGAUGGUUUGAAGUAGCCUUUCGGCUUCUUGUAAUGAUCCCUCCGCUGGUUCACCAACGGAGA